UUUCCCUCUGUAGCCGUGCCUUCCUUCUUUCCUUCUUUUCCUUCUCUGUUUCCACCCCCAAAUCAAAGUUUUGGGUUUUUCUUCAAAAACUCAAAUAUAAACCUCUAUUUUUCUUUGACUUCUAAGCUUUAUUUUCCGAAGUGACAGAAGGAAAAAUUUCUUCUCUCCACGCUAUGGUGCCAGUGACCCAACUAUGAAAGUGACGGCGCGAAUGAAAUUUUUUACCGUAAUUAAUCGCGGUGUCGAAAUCGGUUGUUAAAAUUACAACGGAGGUAAGGGCUCCUUCCAAACUUUUAGUUUGCAUUUAGGACAUUAUUUGUGAUUUUGUGGAAUAGAAAUUUGAUGUAUUUGAGGUGUAAAAUUGUGGAAAAUGAAUUUAAUUUGUUUAUGUGUGAAUUAGUUGAAUUUGAAUUUGAUUUGUUUUGAGGUGUGUUUUGUAGUGAUUAAUGUUGGGUGUAAAUUGUAUGUUUAUAAUUAAUAUUAUGAAUUUUUGAGAUGUGAUUUAGGUGUGAAUUUUGUGGAUAUUAAAUUAAUUAAAUUUGAUGUGUUUGAGUUGUGUAAUGAGUUGUUUUCAAAUAAAUGAGUUUGAAUUGAAGUUGAAAUUUUACAAAAAAUUUAGAGUUGUUAAAGUUGUGGAAAAAAAAUUCAAAUUUUAACUAAGUUAAAGAGUUUGAGUAAAUAGAUAGAUUGAAAUUAAAAAGGGUUAGAGUUUAAAAUGUUACUAUUUUAAUUACUCUUGAACUGAGUUUAAAAAGAAAAAAAAUUUUAUUAACUCAAAAAUUUUGGUACUUUAAUAGUCGCGUGUGUAUGUGAAAUUUGGACAAUAUUUAUUUUAUUUAGUUUUAACUAAAUAAAAAAGAUUAUUUGGUUUUAAAAGUUUAGUGUGUGAGAAAGAUUUAAUUUUGGAAAUUUUGUUGUGUUUGGAUUAAUUUUAUUGUGAACAAAUUGUUAUAAAUAUUUAUGUUUAUGUAGUUAGCUCAUUGAGUCUCGAAAAGGAAUCGAGACCAUUGGCACCGAGUUAGCGGUGGGGAGAACUCUGAUAUAUUAAUGUUGUUGUGGUGAUUUAUAGUUGAAAAUUUUGGAGAUUGAAUUUGAUGAUUAAUGUUUGAAGAUGUGGAGUUUUGAAUUUGGUGAUUUAUGGUUGAAAUUUGUGGAGAAUAAAUUUGGUGAUUAAUGUUUGAAAAUUUUGGAGAUUAAUAUGGGUCAUUUAUGUUGAAUUUGGGGAGAAUUAAAUUUAAUUUAAUUAUGUGUUCAUAAUUGAUAUUAUGAAUGUUUGAUGUGUGUUUGAGGUAUGGGUUGUGGUGAUUUACGGUUGGUGUGAUUUGUGUUCAUAAUGAUUAUUAUGAAUUUUUGGAGAUGUGGUUUAUGUGGGUUUAUGGAAAAUGAAUUUGGUGGGUUAUGUGUGAAAAUGUGGAGUUUCGAAAAUGGGCGAUUUAUGAGUAAAUUUGGUGUGAGUAAAUUGUUGGUUCAUCUGAUCCUUGCAGGGAUUGUCGCGUCGUGCUAAUCUGUGAGAGAUUGCACUCUAGAAUGUGCUGAUCCGUGAGCGAUUGCACUCUAGAAAGUCGUGCUAGUCUGUGAGCGACUACACUCUUGUAUUUCGUGCUGGUCUGUGAGUGACUGCACGCUAGUAAACCAUGCUGAUCUGUGAGAUAUUGCACUCUAGAAUGUGUUGAUCUGUGAGCGAUUACACUCUAGAAAAUCGUGUUGGCCUGUGAGCGACUGCACUCUUGUAUAUCGUGCUGGUCUGUGAGAAACUGCACGCUAGUAAAUUGUGCUGGUCUGUGAGCGAAUGCACUCUUGUAUGUCGUGUUGGUCUGUGAGCGACUGCACGCUAUUAAAUCAUGCUGAUCUGUGAGAGAAUGCACUUUGGUAAUUAGUACUGGUCUGUGAGAGGCUGUACAAUUAUGAUUUACGCCAUUCGAGGAGGGUUUUGGUUUGGAAUUCCAGAAUCAUGCAUUUUGGCAUAUAUGCAUUGCAUUAGAGUGCUUGGCACGCGAGUCAUGUUUGUUAUACUAUGAUGAUUGUAUAUGCAUAUUCGGUUGUUGUUGUGAUUUGCCGUAAUUGCUUUGAGGUGUGAAGUUGGGUUGAUUAAGUUUUGAUGUAAUUAUGUGUUCAUAAUUGAUUUAAUGAAUAUUCGAUGUGUGAAUUUGUGGAGAUUAACUUGGUGUUAAUUAUGUGUUCAUAAUUAAUAACAUUAAUGUUUGAAGUGUUGAUUGAUUUAGAGCCAUUUUAGAAUUGAAAAUCUGCAUUUUCUCAGUUGUAUCAUUUUUCAUCAUUGUUUAUGCAUUUUUGGACAUAUGAAAACCCUUUCGAGGAGUGUGCUAAGACGAAAGGUUCUUUUGAGCAUUUGAAAAUAUAAGAAUUUUGCUAAGUGUUAUUUGUUAAUUUCGGUUGGUGACCCUUUACAAUUAUUGUGAAAAUCUGGACUUUGCCCUCAGAUGAGAACCACGAUUGUCCUACCGGUUAGUACUUUGGAGACGGGCAUGUAGUUAGACAUACCUGACCGAAGCUGUGUUAGGAGGAUCUUGCGGGGCGCGUGGAGAUCACCCGGGUGGUAUAGUGUUUGUAGCAUGAUCAGAUUAGGUGGUUGUAUAAGACUAAAUGUCUUUCUUUUGUGAUUGUAUUUAUUUCAUUUUGGAAGAUUGUAUCUAUGCUUAAACUGUUUGAUGUCUUUUCUUUUGAUGGGUCCAUGUUCCACUUUUUGAUGUGACGUGGGGAAAGUUAAAAUUCUUGGGGCAGUGCUUUUGUACAGGUCUGUCGAGA
rnacentral:lncRNA from 1 species